GUUGCCCUUAGAGAAAAGUAACACAGGAUAAAACAUAACUCUGGGCGACCCGCUCCACGUCAAUGCUCACACUACACGCCCCUCGAGGGCGUUAAGGAAAGCAGGGAGAGUGACAGGGCCCUUACCGCGGGACAUCAGCCUUGCUGGGGUGGGGGCGACACUGACUGCGUCCCUCAGAGGGAGAUGAGACCCUGCUUCCCGCCUCCUCCUCCACACCCCCACAACGGGGAAAUGCAAAGAGAGACACCCAGAUGGUCACGCUGCUCUCGUCGGCCACCAGGCUCACCACACAAGCACUCUUACAAAUACCAGCUGAGUCCACCUGUGGAGCAUGAUGAAGAUGACAAAGAGAGAUUUUGGAAAAGGGUCCCAAAGUCUAGAAUGGAAUCUGGAGAUGGGUGUAGGAGCACAAAUGAUGCAGACCAGAGAAAAACAGCGUGAGGGCUGGGCGACAGCUGCUCCUGUUCACUGUGAAAUCUGCCGGAGUCCAGACACCGCUCCCCAAUUUCGAGCUACAGUGACGGUACCACCAGAUUGGUUAACUCAUCCAAAGGACGGUAUAAACUGAUCCAGAAAGAGCAGACCUGUCAAAAUAUUUGUGUAAGCCCAACAACUCCAAACUGUGUGUUUUUAUUUUGCUUUGUUUUGUUUUUGAGGAAGAUUAGCCCUGAGCUAACAUCU